AUUUCCUUCAAGUAUUAAUAAGGGCAGUGGUGCAAGAAGACCUCGGGGGCUGAGAGCAGCACAGGGUGCCUGAGAGCCCUUCGAGGGAGGCUGAACAGCAGCUUUGAUAGAGGCCUCGGGACAGGACCAGACAAGAUUGCUUUGCAGAUGCUAAGGAUUUCCACUUGUCUCUGGUGAGGGGGAGCUGGGAACAAUGAUCAGAAUCCCGCCAUUGAGCCUGGCUGUAUACACUUGGGCUCAGAAGUUAAGUAUUUAUAGUUCUUAUUUAAAAAUCUAUCGGUCAUUCCCCAGCACUUCUAUUCUUUUAUUUUUUCCUUAAGAUUUUCAGUUAAAGAACUUUAUCAGAUCACGUGAGAGAAUAUCCCUAUGCUUAGGAGAUGGAUGCUGACGUAUUUAGAGGUGAAAUGUCAGGAAGUUUGCAGAUUAAGUCAAACAUACACACAGUGAAGGCAAAUAUGAUCACCAUCUUUUGAACUAUAACUCUCUUCUUCAAACUUUUUAUAGAUUUAAAAUCUCAUACUAAAUGUUGGGGGAAGAAACUGCACUUGAUAUUGAUUCAGACAGAUGUCUGUACUAGGUACACCUCACUUGUCAAUUUUCAUCAAGAUUUGGCCGCCCACAGUGAUCAAGCCAGACUGGCAAGAAGCCUUAUAGAACAUUACCCUACAAAAGCUUAUUUCUGUUGGUUCUAUUCAUUCAUUCAUUCAACAGGUAUUUGUUGAGUGACUACUAUAUGUGAGGCACAAUUCUGGGUCCUGGCUAAAUAGCAGGGGGCAAAAAAAGCUUUGGCGCCUUUCUCCUACGCACUUGUGUUAACUACUAUUUAACAAAAAUGUCCUUUAGAGAAAACAAAUCUUUUGAAAGGUAUAGAUUUGUUUUCAACAAUGUCUGCGUUUUACAGAGCAGUUCCUUUAAGUGUCCUUACUAAAUCAAUGUAUUACAAGGUAAAUGAUUUGGGUUUCUCCAGAAGAGCAUUUGUAGAAUGUACUUUAUUUCUCUCCUUAAGGUUUUCUGGCUCCUAUAAUUUAUGAUUUUGCGCUGGGGAAGCAGAAAGACCGAACGUUCCAGUCUGACGUGGGGAAGCACUAAGGGCCUCCUUCUGUUCUGAUGGAGAAACCAUUUUCCCGUGAAGCACGUGCAGGACUUCACCUCCUUCCUGCUGGGUCCACAUGCAGUGUUGGGAACACCACACAACUCAGAGAGCCCAUGUGAAGGCCCUUUGUGAAGAGCUGUGCCUACUGCAAACCCAUUUCUUAACCUACUUCCAGUCGUAUCUUUCACCACAUAACAUUUUAUUUCUUAUUCGCCCAGGAGGAAAUAGAAGUCUUGGGUUAGACAGAAUGGCCUGGUUUAUGGCUUAAUUACACUGCCCCCAAGUGUGAGUUCCUGAGGAUCUACCGCUGGGGUGACCAUCCGUCCCAGUUUGCCCAACACUGAAGGGGUUUUCCAGGACAAGAGACUGCAGUGCUAACACAAGGAAAAUCCACGGCAAAUUGAGAGGAAUUGGUCACCCCACCUACCACAUCUGUGUCAAAGAUAUAGCCUUCACUGCUUUUCUAAGGAUAAACACCCCUGGACGCCAUACUUCUUUUCUUGGUGGGGAGGUGAGAACAGUGCUGAUUCUGUGCCUGUGUAAACAAGGGAGACCUCACGCUAGCUGGCCUGGACAGGGCGAAUGAACCUCAAGAAGAAUUGCCAACCAGACAUUUUCAUUCCAUCGAGCUGCCCCAAAUUUUAUUUUGGGUGUUUUACUUCUAGAAAUCAUCAUCGGCAUUAUUUUUUGGCCAUUUGGAGAGCAGCAAAGAAUAAAGUUUUCCUAAUCUAACUUUUCUGUACUAUUUGGCUAACUUUCCUUUUCACGCAAAAUUAAAAUUUUGCUGUUAGAUAGGAUUCUAAU
ensembl:lncRNA